CACAGAUCGGUUUCUUUUCGCGGACGACGACAUCGUUAGGCGAAACAUGAUUGGCACCAAGAAGAUUCUUGUUGGACUUCUCGUCCUGGCAAUGGUCCUUGCGAUCGCCAUGGCACAGUUCGCGAAUGUUGGCGAACGUCGGCUUGGUGGUGAACGUGGUUUGGGCCAAUACCGAGACUACCGCGGCUCACGUGGACGUGGCGACGACCGUAGAUCCUACGACGGACGUGAUCGUGACCAUAGAUUCGGCCGCGACCGUGGCUCUGGACGUGACCGUGGCCGAGAACGUGGCAGGGGCGGUGGAUGAGACUUCGACAGAUUUUGAUUAUUGCUUCCUCUGCUCGACCCGACGUUUCUGCACAGAAAACGGAGGGAUGUGUAAUAUGUUUUAAAUGAACAAAAGCUGAAAUGCACGGCAUGCUCCACCAUGUUAUAACAGGCGGCAUAAUUGUGAUACUCCCGAGCAAAGCGCCCGUUAACGAAAAUUUCAAGAGGCAAAUUUUCCACCAGGAAGGACCAAUAGCUCGGGUCAUAGAACCUGCCUGGAACUCCUGAAAAGAAAUAUGAUUAUCAUGAACACAACCCUUCGAAUUAAUUAUGCAUAGACGUGAUAAACCGUACUCUGUCCUAACGGAACUGCGAUUCUUAGUAAAGAAAGAGUCGCGCACCUUUCAGGAAUAGAGCUUGCAAAGUGUGUUUCAAAUAAACAUGAUUAUCUCUGACUGAAAGCAA